AUCCAGAUGACGAGUCUGAAAUAGGGCGAAACGCCUGUCCUGAAU
rnacentral:hammerhead_ribozyme from 1 species